GAAUUUCUACCCUAAUUGCCACAAUUAACAUGUAACCAUAAACUAAUUAAAUUAGGGUUUUAAGAAAUAUUAUCUUUGAAGCUUUCAAAAGGUUUGAUAUCUUCUUACCAAUUCUAACCGAGACCACCACUAGUACUCAACUGCUAUCCUCUAGACAAAGAACCGGGUUGUGGGACCCAAUUUUGGUGUAGAAAGUAAUGGAGAUAAAAUGAGAUUGGAAGGUUUCUUUUUUCUUUUGUUGAGAUGAUGAAAAUGAUAAAAGAGGCAAAAGUUCUUCAACAUUUGAAAACACCUCUAUUUAUAACCUAAUUACAUGCAAAAAUGCAUGCAAUUCAUUUGCCAAAUCUCAACACCUAAUGUUCCACUAACAAUUAGUGGAACUUAGUGGGCUAGGUGUCUAUAUCUCAUAUAGCCACAUAUCCCACUAAGAGUUAGUGGGAUUAUCCAACAAAAUGUUGGAUUUUCCCACUAACUUAGUCCAAGGGUAAAAUGGUCAUUAGAUAUUUCUAGUCAAAAGUCAAUAUUUUGACUUUUUACCAUUUUGUCCGUCUUGACUAAUUCCAACCUCCCGAGCAUGAAUCCGCAUUCAUUUUUCCAAAAUUCAAAUCACAUUUGAAUAUAAGGCCGGUCAAAGUUUGACUUUUCAAAGUCAAAAGUCAACAUUUUGACUUUUUACUAUUUUUGACCAAUUCCAUCAAUUCCGAGCUUCUUAGUAUGAAUCCGCAUUCAUACUUAUAGUAUGUAAAACAUAAAAGCUCUAUUUCUAAUUAGAAGACCGACG
rnacentral:lncRNA from 1 species